ACACGAGUGGCGCACGGGUGUGUAACGCGUGGGAACGUGCCCUUCAGUUUGGGAUAACACCGGGAAACUGGUGCUAAUACCAAAUAUUCCCUUUGGGGGAAAGAUUUAUCGCUGAAGGAUCGGCCCGCGUGAGAUUAGGUAGUUGGUGGGGUAAUGGCCUACCAAGCCUACGAUCUCUAGCUGGUCUGAGAGGAUGAUCAGCCACACUGGAACUGAGACACGGUCCAGACUCCUACGGGAGGCAGCAGUGGGGAAUAUUGGACAAUGGGCGAAAGCCUGAUCCAGCCAUGCCGCGUGAGUGAUGAAGGCCUUAGGGUUGUAAAGCUCUUUUGUCAGGGAAGAUAAUGACGGUACCUGAAGAAUAAGCACCGGCUAACUUCGUGCCAGCAGCCGCGGUAAUACGAAGGGUGCUAGCGUUGUUCGGAAUCACUGGGCGUAAAGCGCGCGUAGGCGGCGAUACAAGUCAGGGGUGAAAUCCUGGAGCUCAACUCCAGAAUUGCCUUUGAAACUGUAUUGCUAGAGUGUCGGAGGGGAUAGCGGAAUUGCUAAUGUAGAGGUGAAAUUCGUAGAUAUUAGCAGGAACACCGGUGGCGAAGGCGGCUAUCUGGACGACAACUGACGCUGAGGCGCGAAAGCGUGGGGAUCAAACAGGAUUAGAUACCCUGGUAGUCCACGCCGUAA
rnacentral:rRNA from 1 species